ensembl:lncRNA
GCUCAUCAGAGAAAUGUGUGCAAACUCCACUGGUGGAGCAAUGUCAGAGUAUUUAAUGCUCUCUGCCUGCCUCAGUCCCAGCCCAGGCUGACGGAUCCACCUCACUUUGUGUCUUCUGCUGCUCUUAAGAGACUAAUGAGGAAAUUUUCCUGUGACUGCUUCACUUGUGCGCUCCCUCUCUGCAUUGAGCAGCUAAUGAUGGAGAUGUCUCAAGCAGAGCUGGGUGCUUCCUUUUGCCAAACUGCAUCGGUCACUACCUCUCCAUAAUAGAACACCUUCAAGGUGAAUUUAUUUAAGAAUAUUUAACCCACAGCAAAAGCAGCAAACCCUGCAAGAAACAGCUUUUACAUCUCCCGUUGGAAUUUGUGCUCAGGAAGGUUUCUGAUGGGUUUUUUUGGGGGGGGGGGGGAGGGGCUAAAAAGGGCCCUUUUCAAGCCAGCUCUCUCAAGCCUCCAUCUCCUAAAGCUCCAUCUCAUGUGAGUCCACAGAAACGAGCCCUUCAUCUCCCCUAUGAGUUCUGCCUUCCUGGUUUCCAGCAGCACGUUCAGAGCAGAAGCAAAGAACUUCCACCUCUCCUCGGACUCAGACUUGAAACUCCAUCUGGAACCUGCAAAGUGACAAAGCUUUUCUACCCAAAGAGACCUGGAGAGCAGCUCCGUUCUGGUGGAAGUUGCACUCCAGGUGAAAGCUGCUGCUCUGCUGCCUCAGAUCUGUGCGUGAUCAACAGAACACAUUGAGUCCCUGACAGCAAUCUAACCUUACUUCCAGCCACCCAAGCAGUUUGUCUUUCACAGAAUAGUGUUUCUUCCCACCCCAAAAAAGCAGUUUUAUUUUGGCUGCCCUAUCAAACUGCUGCCCCUGAUGUCAGUGCUGAACUUCUCAGGUAGUUCCCAGCUGGAACACUGCUGCUCAGACAGAUUGGAUGGGAGAAGUAGAAAGACAAAGAGCCUGCAUGCAGUAUGGUUUGGCUGCGGUUGGACUUGAUGAUCUUUAAGGUCUUUUCCAACCUAAGCAAUUCUAUGAUUCUAUGCCCUGGAUGUUAAGGGUAAAAACAGAGAUAGGGAGAGAAAGAGAGGAACUCUCCCAGGUAAGGACAGCAAUAGGAUGAGAGGUGAUGACCUUAAGUCAUUCCAGAGGAGGUUCAGGUUGGAUAGAAGGAAGCAUUUAUUUGCAGAAACAGUGGCAAUGCAGUGGCUCAGCUGCCCAGGGGGUGGUGGAGUCACCAUCCCUGGAGGUGUUCAAGAUCACGGAGAUGUGGCACUGAGGGAUGUGGUUAUGGGCAUGGUGGGAUGGGUUGGAGUCCUACUUGGUGACCUUAGAGGUCCUUUCCAACCUCAUUGACUCCGUGAUUUGACAAAACACAACAGAGGCACAGGCAGAACACAUCGCAACACCACCAGGUUUCUGUGGAAGGCACAGGUAAGAGGAGGUGGCUCCUUGCUCCACAGAGGCACAGCACCCUUCUGAUGUAUUUAUUUCCCCCCUCCAGCCAGUGAUACGUUUUCCAGUCCGCCAGCGAUGUGUCUGCUUUAUGGCCAGUGAGAUGAUGGGACAGAGGGAUGAGGCAUUAAUAGGAAGGAGACAGGAGCAAGAGACUGAGCAAAAUGCAGAAAUGACUUGAAAACCUAAGGGGAGGGAAGCCAGCGAGAGACAUUUCUGUCUGUUGAACACGAUCGAUGCCUGCUGACAUCAAUCACUGCAAGCUGGGUGCACUGAUGGAUGUUUCCUCCCUGUCUGCAGCGAAGACAAAUGGGUGUGGGCAGGGAACGCCUCGGCCACUGCAUGGAACCCAAGGGAAGGCAGUCCAGGCUGGGGAAGGCACAGAGCAGCCACUCUCAGGUGGCCCAGAGGACUGAGACAUCAUUGAUUAGAUACGUUCUUAAUUAAUUUUUUGAAAUUGCUACAGAUCAUUGCUGGAAGAAGAUGAUUUGUCAAAAGAGGUCCCUUUUGCGGGAACUCAGCGGCUGCAGAGAAACCUCCUGGUAGGUUCCUGAGCUCCGGGAAGGGCUCUGAUGGAAAAGGCAAGGAUCCAGGCUCCUGCAGAGCCCCAUCCUGCCAUGUCCCCCAGCCCUAUGGGGGUAAGAGGCUGAAAAGCUGUGUUUUUUUUCCAUGAGAACUCCCAUAGCAAAAGCACAGAGUGUAUCCGGGAACAAAGCAUCUGAAUCCGACUGAUUCGUUUUGCAUUGAAUAACACAUUACCAUCCGUUCGAACCAAAAGAGGGGAAAUUUAGACUAGCUAUAAGGAAAAGGUUUUUCGUGAUAGGAGUGAUGUGGCAUCGGCACAGGUUGCAGAGAGGUGGUGGGUGCCCCAUCCAUGGAGACACCCCAGGUCAGGCUGGACCGGGCUCUGAGCACCCGAUGGAACUGCAGAAGCCCCUGUUCAUUGCAGAAGAGUUGGACCAGAUGGCUGUGAAAUGUCCCUUCUAACUCAAACCAUUCUGUGUUUCUAUGAUUCAAUGAUCAAGUGCAAGUGAGCACUUCUGCUUGCUUAUGCAAAAUAAAUACACAAAACAAGAACUUUCUCAGAUGGAAAAGCAUUUUAAAAGCUCCAGAGCCCUUGGUGUUCUUUGUUUUGUACAAAACAAGAAAAAGCUCUCCUUCCCUCCUUCCUUCAUCCACACCCUUUGAUUUGUCUGAGCUUACAGUGACAGCUGUGGAAUCCCCCCAGAGGUGUCGGUACAUCAGAGGAACCAGGACCAGGAGUUAAAGACAUUUCUCUUGCUUUAUGGCUGCUGUGGGAUCCUGGUCCAAAUCCUCUUUCUUCCAGGCCACGUGUAUUCUCAGUACAACAGUUCCAGAGACUCAAAUGCUGCAGUUUCCCUAUGCUGGCAGAGCACAGAGCUGAGAACUGGGCUUGUAGUCCUCUCCAUCACAGCGCAUUGCCCAGCCAGACGUCCCCGGGCCUCCUGAACCACAUCACUGCUGCGGGGCCCACCCAAGGAUGGCUGACAUUUAAACAUUCACUCUCAGACCAAAAUUGCCCGUUCCUCCCCAGAACAAACCUGCAAUUCUUUUCAGAGCCGAGGCCACAAAGUUCAGGUGUUUCAAUUCAAAAGUGAGGACAAAAUUGUUUACUCUGCGCUGGAGAAGCAGGGCACAGCAGAAGCAGCUCUGAUGACAGCCUGCCCCUUCUGCAACAGAGGUUAUAACUUGUUUUUAAUCACUGUUUGCUCUCUUUUAUUUCUUGUUUCAUUUUCAGCUGCUCAAGGCAAGAGCUAAAGUCAAUUUACUGUACAUACAGAUUACCUGCUGCUUCAGGGUAACCGAUGGGAAAGGUCUCGGGCUGUGAUGAAAGGAGAAGGUAAAGAGGCUCAGCAGCUACAGCAGCUUGCUCCAGGUCAGAGAGCACACACGGUGCUGGCAGUGACACCUCUGCCACAUGCAAGGCCUACAGUGAACACUGCAUGAGGCUUUCUGUGCACUCUGGCAGACCCUGGGACUCAGUCCUCACUCCUCACAUGAGCAAAGCCUGGCUCCCUCCAGCUCUGAGCUGGAACUAUUGGGUUUGAACCUCCCACACCUGAAGGCACAAUCCUGCCUUGUGGGCUCAGUUGGGAUGAGCCCUCACAUUUCUCCAGUGGUUCCACAUUCGUCCAAAGAAUUCCUCACCCUUUUUCCUCAGAGCAGCAACCACAAUCGCAAGCAUUCAACCCACACCCAGCUAACAAUGCAAACCUCUGUAGCAACCUUACCACAAACUAAUACUACAGCAAUAAGAUCCUAAUUACUCCCAUCACAUAUCCAGUUUGGGUGAGGCACAGAAGCCAGAGUGAUGAUUUGGAUUCAUGUGAGCAUCAGGCGCACCAGCACCCCAUCCAUGCAAAGCAUCAGGGGGACAGGAGGAGGACGAAGCAGCACCUCGCUCAGUUCCUAAUGCUCCAGCUUUAUCCCCCUGCUCCUCCUGCCUUCCCCUGCAUUGCACAGCCCUCACUCCUCGCCUGCUCCCUUCUCCUUGCUGCCACUGCUGCCAGCUGCGAGAGCGGCACGGCUUUGUGAGAUGCUGCAGUGCCAUCUUCAGACAGGAGGGCAGCAGCCACAACCGUGGGAUGUUUCUGCUGUACAAAUAAGGAGGAUUUAAAAACAAACAAUGGAAAUCUGCCCACGUCCAGAUCUGUGCAGAGGGAACGUGUGUCCGGAUGCUGGGGAAACAUUUGCAGUUGGCAUGGCAGGAAUGAAGCGGCGCUGCUCCUGCCAUCUCCUGAUCCCAAAGACACGGCAGUGAGCAAGAGCUGAAGCUCUGCGUGGCCCUGGGAAGGCUGACAUGCUCCACUCUGUGCUAAAGCGCAGGGAUGAUGGGAUCCAACUGCACUAAACAGCGCAGGGGUUCCACGAGAAGGAAUUCUCUCUCUCCCCUCUAUGAUUCAGCACGCUUAGGUGGGAUAUCGCAAUGCACGCUGUAACAUGUUCCUCCUCUUGCACCCUCCCAGCAAGCUGCAGGACAUCAUUUUAUCCCAAUGCCUUCUUCUGCAGCAGCAAAACAACUGGGCUGGAGACCUCACUUCCCAACCAUGCAUCACAUCCCCAUCACCCUGUGCCAGCCCCUGCCGCCUCCUGACUCGAGCUUCAGCACUUUGGGGGGAAAUCAGUGAAGUGAUGAGGCACAAAAGUGUCAGAGAAGUGGGGGGGUGGGCUCAGGUCUGCGCCCCUCCUUUUUAACUCAGUGCCACAUCAGUAGCCACCAACAGCACCGGUGGAUGGAGCCCACUGGUAAAUGAUACAUGUGGCUUUGCAGAGCACUAAUCGGAUGGAGGUUGGUGCUAAGAGACUUUCAGACUCUGAAAGCCAGCGCCUUUAACACAUUUUUUUUCCUCGCAGCACUGGUUGUUUGGGCCAAUUUUUGGUAAUUUCAGUAAUUUUGGCCUGCUUACAGACAUCACUGCUGCUGAAAACCAGUUCUGAGCCCAGGAGACUGCAGCACUACGGAGCUUCAGGGAAGGAAAGCAAACGGCCGCAGGAUCUCCCUGGAUGCUGCCUUAUCCCCACGGGCUCUGACCCUCCCGAGCUGCAAAACACAUCUGAAGGAGGGGAUUGGGUGAGCUCAGGAGUGGAUUUCUGCAGCAACUCCGUGAAGCUGAGAGCUUUUCUAGCAACACACAUUCUGGAUCCUCUCAGAAAGGUAUUCACCUCACCUGAAUUUGGAUGGUUUGAAGUUUAAUUUGUCAGACUGAGCUAGUUAACGUGCUUCUCUCUGUAGUUAAUGGAGAGAAAUAAGAGCUGCUAGAGGGCAAUUCCUCUGACCCGUUGUUAACACUUGUCUCAGCAUGAGAGAAAUAGCCCUCUGGAGAGGCUGCCUUCUGCACUGACUGUAAAGAGACAAAGAUGAGCAGCUCGAGCUCUCAAGCCCCAUUUUUUGACAAAUCCCAUAUGAAGUGCAGGUGGGACUGCCCAGCCAGCAGCACCCCCGGCUCACCUCAACACAACUCAAAGCCUUUCACCAGCUUAAAGACCCGGACUUGUCCUUCGAAAGCUCCAUGCUGAAGAGUUGCUAUUAUUUUUCACGUAGACUUCACUGGAUUUGAUUCCCCAAAGAGCAUCUGGGGAGCACUGGGGGAACAGAGAAGGGCUACAGCUCUGUGCUCAUCCCUACUGCUCCGGGGUGAAGGUGUGAGGAGCUGUGUGGCAGCCCCAGCCCUGAGCAGAGCAUAUGGUGGGCACAACCCAACCUGUCCCCACCAGCGGCCCCAACCCAAGGGAUGC